ensembl:snoRNA
GGGGUGUGCUCAGAGCAGGAGGCCUGAAGAAUGGCUCCCCUGUUUACAACAUACCCGACAGGAAUUCAGGGCCACUGGGACCAAGGCAUGCAACUGUGGCUUCCCUGUGACCAGAAGCCCUGCACAC